rnacentral:rRNA from 1 species
GGCUCAGGAUGAACGCUGGCGGCGUGCUUAACACAUGCAAGUCGAACGGGGGCAGGAGGAAACCUAGUGAAUCCUGCCCUAGUGGCGGACGGGUGAGUAACGCGUGGGCAACCUGCCGCAUACCGGGGGAUAACACUUAGAAAUAGGUGCUAAUACCGCAUAAGCGCACAGAGCCGCAUGGCUCGGUGUGAAAAACUCCGGUGGUAUGCGAUGGGCCCGCGUCUGAUUAGCUUGUUGGCGGGGCAGCGGCCCACCAAGGCGACGAUCAGUAGCCGGCCUGAGAGGGUGGACGGCCACAUUGGGACUGAGACACGGCCCAGACUCCUACGGGAGGCAGCAGUGGGGAAUAUUGCACAAUGGGGGGAACCCUGAUGCAGCGACGCCGCGUGAGUGAAGAAGUAUUUCGGUAUGUAAAGCUCUAUCAGCAGGGAAGAAAAUGACGGUACCUGACUAAGAAGCCCCGGCUAACUACGUGCCAGCAGCCGCGGUAAUACGUAGGGGGCAAGCGUUAUCCGGAUUUACUGGGUGUAAAGGGAGCGC